CAGUCGCCGCGGGAAUACGAAGGGUGCAAGCGUUAAUCGGAAUUACUGGGCGUAAAGCGUGCGUAGGCGGUUUGUUAAGUCUGUUGUGAAAUCCCCGGGCUCAACCUGGGAAUGGCAAUGGAUACUGGCUCGCUAGAGUGUGUCAGAGGAUGGUGGAAUUCCCGGUGUAGCGGUGAAAUGCGUAGAGAUCGGGAGGAACAUCAGUGGCGAAGGCGGCCAUCUGGGACAACACUGACGCUGAGGCACGAAAGCGUGGGGAGCAAACAGGAUUAGAUACCCCGGUAGUCCCUGUCUCUUAUAC
rnacentral:rRNA from 1 species